CGUGUAGGCGGCCCGGUAAGUCCGCUGUGAAAGUCGGGGGCUCAACCCUCGGAAGCCGGUGGAUACUGUCGGGCUCGAGUACGGAAGAGGCGAGUGGAAUUCCUGGUGUAGCGGUGAAAUGCGCAGAUAUCAGGAGGAACACCUAUUGCGAAGGCAGCUCGCUGGGACGUUACUGACGCUGAGACGCGAAAGCGUGGGAGCAGACA
rnacentral:rRNA from 1 species